GUAUGGUCAUUUUAGGUUGUUUUCUUCGACAAGUUUCAUCUUUAUCUAUGAUUUGUUACUUGUUUCAAGUAUUUUCUUUGUUAAUCAUAUACUUGUUUGUCUAACUCUGCUAUAUGUCUUUGAUGUUCUAAUGUACGUAGUAUGUGUUAUUUUAUAUUUUACAUGUUAUGUGUUAUGUAAUUCAUGUUUAUAUGUAGAUUUGGAUCAUUUAUGCUGGUUAACAAUCAUUCUUUACUUUUUUCUUAAUGAUUUAAAGUGUUGAGAAACCUCUCUAAUAGUAGGACCAGUAAUAUCAUAAAUAAUUCUGACUGAAACAAAAUCCGUGUCAGUGUCACGUACUCAAUUGUGAUAAUCAGAGAUGAUGCUCAAACCAAUGAUGGUGUGUCCAAUGUCCAUGCUUGGUGACUUUUAAGCAACGAACGCUUGGUCAGUCACUGUGUCAUGACUUUUUUUUUUUUCACUGUGAUCAGCUAUGCAAAAUGUCACUGACAUAGUCAUGACAAAUUCCGACUGAAACAAAAUCAUGUCAGCGUCACGAGCUGUAAUGUGAUGAUCGGAGAUGAGGCUCAAAACUCAAAUUGGUGCGACCAUCACAUGCUUGGUGACAUUUUGUGCAACCAACUCUUGGUCAGUCACUUGGUUGCGACAUUUUCUGUCGGUGAUCAUCACGAUAGUCACGGGAGAUAUGCGGUGAGUUCGAGUGGACCUAUUCAUCAAAAUGAGCAUGUUUUUUCGCACUGUUUGACCUUUCAGAUAAUCAAACCAGACAAAACGAGAAAGCAUGCUCAUUUUGUGCUUGGGACGACUAGUAUAUUUCAAGAAUGUCGUGAUAAUCACCGACAGAAAAUGUCGUGACCAAGUGAGUGAUCAAGAGUUGGGUGUCUAAAAACUUAAAAUGUCACCAGACAGUUUGAGUCUCACCUCUGAUCAUCUCAGUUGUGUACGUGAGCUGAAUUGAGCCUCGUUUCAGUCAUGAGUGUUGGUGACUAAAACAGUGGCAAUUGAAAGUACUGUUCACAGCCAGAAAAAGUCAUGAUUAUGCUUGCGUCGGCAUCAAGCUCAGUCUGUCAGUCAGAGUAUCGGGUUUGGCUUAAGCACUCGCACGUCAUGUUCGGCAGAUUGAAUAUUAGCAAUGAUCUAUAUCCUAAAACACUAAGAAACCAGAUUUCUAAAAUAACCAAAAAUCCUUUGGAAACUUCCAACAAAGGGGAACAACAAUGUUUCAUAUUUGAAAACGGAUGAGCAGCACCGUUUUAAUUAUUGCUACACUGAUCAUCGUAACCACGAUUUCCCUUUAAUCCUACCAAGAAGAAUCCCCCAAGAAGAAAAGCUUCAUAACAACAGCGCCAAUAAUACUACACGAGAUAAUACACCGUUGCUGUUGUACUUACACGUACUUCUCUUCGUUUGGAGAUUACAUAAAUUUCAGAAAAAUCAGAAAGCAAAACCAAUUUUAUAAUUUUCGCAACAUGCCGCAAAUCAACUCCAAGCUAGGAAAAAUACGAUCUAAGAGCAACCGACACACACACACAUAGCACACACUUCAUCAGCAAUGUAGCAAAUGAUUCAUCACACCAUAAUCCCAUCACCAGCCGCUCUCAUCACCGUGUACACCGAAAAGCGGUACAGCAACAGCAAGUCAAAACUCAUCCAUCAGCGGUGGUGGUGGUGCUUGGUGCGCUAUGGGCAGGAUUAAUUUCUUCUUCCCUCCUCUCUACAGGAAAUGCACACACUAAGAAGCUCACGCGCGCUAGUACGCCCGGCAACGCACGGUUUCCCUGGGCAACGUAAAAUGAGCAACAGAACGCAACAGCGCAGCAGAAAAUCCCCAUUUCUCCUUCAUAUAUCGCAAUCGUGCAACGGUAGCAGCGGCAGUUACGCAGCAAGCCUUUGAAGCGAGCGUUGGAGCGCUAAUCCUUUCGGUAAACCUCUACCAACCAGAGGGAGCGAAUGGGAAGCCGGUGCCGUUCCUGUUUGCUCACUGCCCUUGGUUGUGUCGGUAUGGAAUCUGCAGGGAAACACGCGUUCUCAAAGCCGCGCAUCAUCGAUGACGGAGGGCGAUUAACUCUCCCUCUCCCUACACACCUGGCCAUACACGGCCACCGGGCGCCAUCUUUCGGGGCGACGAGCAAACCAAUUCCUCUUGAUGUGGCUUUCCAGCACCGUUUGGCAUGGGGCGAAAAUCCCGUAAAAGAACGGAGGGAACCACGGAAAACCACGACGCAUCUUCCUUCCACGAAUGGCGCCGUGCGUGUGUGUGUGUGUGUGUGUGUGUGUGUGGAUGCAGGAGCCGAAAAAUUGGAACCUGAUCCCCGUACGCAUUCCGGAAAAAAAACGAGGAAGCAUAAAUAAACUUGCGUGCUAUUAAAAUGCUAGCGCCCAUGACGACUUCCAGCAAACGAGAACUCCGUAUAAAGCCAACAAAGAUGUGCGCCUUGGCCUUUUUCUCGACCGCUAACUGCGUAGUAUUGCUAAUCAGAAAGAAGAAGAAAAAACACGGGCACAGGAAAGCAAAGAAACUCUUGAAUCAACAUUGUGCGCACAAAAUAGUUACAUCAAAUCUAUGCUUCGUGUGAUUAGUUCCGGACGAGCGGAUCCAUUGCCCGUAGUUCGGGGACCACACAUCGCCGUUGUUGGGCCACUGGGGCGGGCGCGCCCAACCUUUGGUGUAUAGCAAAACGUUUAAUCAAGCCCAAUUACACACCAAACCGCCAGCAGCAGCACCCUUUUGUGUUUCGCAAAACGACGCGCAACCACUUACAUUGCUUAACAGCAGGACCGCGCCAUCCCGGCUAGGUGAACGGAGCACAUGUAGUGCCAGCUGGAAUCUAGCGUGUGUGUGUGUGUGCGUGUUGAUUUUAGCGACCUCAUCUCGGGGUGACAUUUUGGGCUGGUCGCGUUGCAGUCUUCCCUACCCUCCAGCGGAAUCGUGUGUAUAGCCCGCCGGACAGGAUUUUCCUCUUGUUCGGUAGUAUGUUGCGACAACUGUGCGCUUUGUUUUCGCGUACGCCUGUGUAGGAAAGGGAAAGGAGGUUUGUCUUUGAUUAACAAUAGGGCUCCGCAACGCAAUUGUGAGGUAUUUUGGUAUUAAAUUUAAGAGACUUAUUAAAAUACACUGAUAUUGAAGAAUCCAUACCAGUAAUGGCAGUGAUGUUGAACUCAUCUUGAGCCUGGGGUACUGAUUCUCAGCCCGAAUUCAUAGAAGUUCUUAAACUGAUGCUGAACAUAUACACUUACUGAGACUGAUGCUAAAUCCAUGUGUAGGGUAAAGAUUCAACAGUGCAGCAACACACUUAAACCACCCUACAUCGACCACCAAAAACGUAUCGAGUAACCAAAAUCCUACUGUGUGGAAGAUAAUGAAACAUCUACCCCAUCCAUCCGCACCCGCUCACCCACUGUUACGAGCCACCAAGCGUCUCCAUGUGGAAAACGACCCGACCGCUUACAAGUCAGUAGUGGUGGUUUGCUUGCUUGCUCAAACAAAGAAACGGUUAUUUACACGCACGGGCAAGCGACCGUACUGCUUUCCGAGAAACAAUUGACCGACAGAAAUAAGUCCAAAUUGCUGUACUCCUCUGCCUUUCCCGGAAAAUGGGCACACAAAACGCUCCUUUAUAGUGUCCGCCGUGUUCGCUGCACAAAUAAAAGAGGGAAGUUCAAGCAAAUCUUGAUGUAAAGGUUUGUAAAAAAAAAUAAAAAAAAACAUCCAAAAACGGUAGAUAAAGGAAAGAAAAAUCGAUUUUCCUUCCUGUUUUUUGUGGGGAAGGGGCAGGAGCGUUCCUAGAUAACGAUCGACAUGGGAGCAAGUGGCAAUAAAAUUUGAAAGCCUCACACACCAUUAAAACAAUUCAAAACCGGGAUGAAAUUAGGGGUGGGAUGAAACAACUCACAUUUCACACAACGGAAACAAUCACAAACAUGCUCCAAAAAAAAAAUGUGGUAAUGAAAAUAAAUGACAAUUUCCAUCUUCUUGUGAAUGUUUCAAUUUAAAC